rnacentral:rRNA from 1 species
AGUGAACGCUGGCGGUAGGCCUAACACAUGCAAGUCGAACGGCAGCACAGAGGAGCUUGCUCCUUGGGUGGCGAGUGGCGGACGGGUGAGGAAUACAUCGGAAUCUACUCUGUCGUGAGGGUUAACGUAGGGAAACUUACGCUAAUACCGCAUACGACCUACGGGUGAAAGCAGGGGACCUUCGGGCCUUGCGCGAUUGAAUGAGCCGAUGUCGGAUUAGCUAGUUGGCGGGGUAAAGGCCCACCAAGGCGACGAUCCGUAGCUGGUCUGAGAGGAUGAUCAGCCACACUGGAACCGAGACACGGUCCAGACUCCUACGGGAGGCAGCAGUGGGGAAUAUUGGACAAUGGGCGCAAGCCUGAUCCAGCCAUACCGCGUGGGUGAAGAAGGCCUUCGGGUUGUAAAGCCCUUUUGUUGGGAAAGAAAUCCAGCUGGCUAAUACCCGGUUGGGAUGACGGUACCCAAAGAAUAAGCACCGGCUAACUUCGUGCCAGCCGCCGCCGUAA